ACAAAGGCUCUUUUAAGAGCCACUCCCUCCUCCAAAGAGAACUGG
rnacentral:ncRNA from 1 species